rnacentral:rRNA from 1 species
UACAGAGGGUGCAAGCGUUAAUCGGAAUUACUGGGCGUAAAGGGUGCGUAGGUGGUUCUUUAAGUCAGAUGUGAAAUCCCUGGGCUCAACCUAGGAAUUGCGUUUGAGACUGAAGAACUAGAGUACAGGAGAGGGAAGUGGAAUUUCCGGUGUAGCGGUGAAAUGCGUAGAUAUCGGAAGGAACAUCAGUGGCGAAGGCGACUUCCUGGACUGUUACUGACACUGAGGCACGAAAGCGUGGGGAGCGAAC